GAUGAACGCUGACAGAAUGCUUAACACAUGCAAGUCGAUGGGGAAGUGGUGCUUGCACCAUGGUAACCAUGGCGGACGGGUGAGUAACGCGUAAGGAACUUACCUGCGGGACCGGGAUAACAGCAGGAAACUGCUGACAAGACCGGAUAAGGUCAUUAAGCUGCAUAGCUUAGUGAUGAAAGGAGACGCCUGCGGAGAGCCUUGCGUCCUAUUAGCUAGUUGGAGGGGUAACGGCCCACCAAGGCGAAGAUAGGUAGCCGGCCUGAGAGGGUGGACGGCCACAAGGGGACUGAGAUACGGCCCUUACUCCUACGGGAGGCAGCAGUGGGGAAUAUUGGACAAUGGGGGCAACCCUGAUCCAGCAAUUCUGUGUGCACGAAGACGGUUUUCGGAUUGUAAAGUGCUUUCAGCAGGGAAGAAGGAAGUGACGGUACCUGCAGAAGAAGCGACGGCUAAAUACGCG
rnacentral:rRNA from 1 species